UGAGGUUCUCCUUCAACAUAGAUUGUUCUCAGCUGCCCUGCUGCUGCAGCACACCUGGCGCAUAAGAUACCCACAGCUUGGGGAACCCUUCCAGUUCUGCCUACCAGAAGAACAAAGGGUUCAUUGUCAGCUGCUCAAUCUGAACGAGGAAAUACCAAUUUUCAGAAUACCAAUUCCAGUGAGGUGAAGACAUAUAGAAGCAGAAAGCUUUGAGAAUAUCACAAGUUUGCAACCUGGGAAGAUUAAAGAAAGCAGUCAUAGAAAAGUGAACCUUGGAAGAUCAUCAAGUUCAUCCUCUUGUUGAAAAAAGGAUGGAUUAGAUGAUUUAGCGCCCUGUCUAAUGGCAUCUUGAAAACCCCCAGUGAUGAGGAUUCUGCCAUGUCUUUAGGGCAGUUCUUCCAGCAAUGGAUGGUUCUCAGUGCAAAUAAUUUCUUUCUCAUAUGUAUGUUUGGAAGUAAGUUUACUGCUUAUUUGUACUAGAAUCUAUCCAAAGUAGGCCUGAAAAAAUAAUUUCAAUAAAUACAAACGGGAUAAUUGUAAUCA